CUACGGGUUGCACCAGUGAGGAAUAUUGCACAAUGGAGGAAACUCUGGUGCAGCAACGCCGCGUGGAGGAUGACGCAUUUUGGUGUGUAAACUCCUUUUAUGAGUCAAGAAAAUGACGGUAGCUCAUGAAUAAGCACCGGCUAACUCCGUGCCAGCAGCCGCGGUAAUACGGAGGGUGCAAGCGUUACUCGGAAUCACUGGGCGUAAAGGACGCGUAGGCGGGAUAUCAAGUCAGGUGUGAAAUCCUACAGCUUAACUGUAGAACUGCACUUGAAACUGGUAACCUAGAGUAUGGGAGGGGGAGAUGGAAUUAGUGGUGUAGGGGUAAUAUCCGUAGAUAUCACUAGGAAUACCUAAAGCGAAGGCGAUCUCCUGGAACAUAACUGACGCUAAGGCGUGAAAGCGUGGGGAGCAAACAGGAUUAGAUACCCCCGUAGUC
rnacentral:rRNA from 1 species